rnacentral:rRNA from 1 species
UACAGAGGUCCCAAGCGUUGUUCGGAUUCAUUGGGCGUAAAGGGUGUGUGAGGUGGCGCCGUAAGUCGGGUGAUGGAAAUCUCGGGGCCUUAACUCCGAAACUGCAUUCGGAUACUGCGGUGCUUGAGGACUGGAGAGGAGACUGGAAUUACGGUGUAGCGGUGAAAUGCGUACGAUAUCCGGAGGAACACCGGUGGCGAAGGCGGCUCCUGGACCGACACUGACGCUGGGCGACGAAAGCGUAGGGGAGCAAACGGG